GACGAACGCUGGCGGCGUGCUUAACACAUGCAAGUCGAACGGAAAGGCCCUGCUUUUGUGGGGUGCUCGAGUGGCGAACGGGUGAGUAACACGUGAGUAACCUGCCCUUGACUUUGGGAUAACUUCAGGAAACUGGGGCUAAUACCGGAUAGGAGCUCCUGCUGCAUGGUGGGGGUUGGAAAGUUUCGGCGGUUGGGGAUGGACUCGCGGCUUAUCAGCUUGUUGGUGGGGUAGUGGCUUACCAAAGCUUUGACGGGUAGCCGGCCUGAGAGGGUGACCGGCCACAUUGGGACUGAGAUACGGCCCAGACCCCUACGGGAGGCAGCAGUGGGGAAUAUUGCACAAUGGGCGGAAGCCUGAUGCAGCAACGCCGCGUGCGGGAUGACGGCCUUCGGGUUGUAAACCGCUUUCGCCUGUGACGAAGCGUGAGUGACGGUAAUGGGUAAAGAAGCACCGGCUAACUACGUG
rnacentral:rRNA from 1 species